CACGGUCAAAUGUAGUAACAGAAGGCAAACGGCUUUUCAGGUGAAAGACGACCGAUGUAAAAGGAGUUGCGCUUCCUUGGGUGUAAAUCCCUAAAACUGCCCUUUGAUGCCCUUACACGGACGCUUCUUGCAUGGUGGGUAAUCGUGCCUUAACCCAUUUCAUGUGUGAGGGCAAAGCAAUUUAGAUGGCACCCUACAACGAAUUUGUACGAGGGGCGAAUACUUUUAUUAUGACAA
ncrna:unclassified sequences RT-2 RNA